rnacentral:rRNA from 1 species
UUGGAGGGCAAGUCUGGUGCCAGCAGCCGCGGUAAUUCCAGCUCCAAUAGCGUAUAUUAAAGUUGUUGCAGUUAAAAAGCUCGUAGUUGAAUUUUGGGGUCAGUAGGUUGGUCAUGCCACUGGUAUGUACUGGUCUCACUGAUUCCUCCUUCCUGAUGAGCCGUAAUGCCAUUAAUUUGGUGUUGCGAGGAAUCUGGACUGUUACUUUGAAAAAAUUAGAGUGUUUAAAGCAGGCUAACGCUUGAAUACAUUAGCAUGGAAUAAUGAAAUAGGACGUUCGAUCUUACUUUGUUGGUUUCUAAGAUUGACGUAAUGAUUAAUAGGGAUAGUUGGGGGCAUUAGUAUUCAAUUGUCAGGGGUGAAAUUCCUGGAUUUAUUGAAGACUAACUACUGCGAAAGCAUUUGCCAAGGAUGUUUUCAUUAAUCAAGAACGAAAGUUAGGGGAUCGAAGACGAUCAGAUACCGUCGUAGUCUUAACCAUAAACUAUGCCGACUAGGGAUCGGAUGAUGUUAAUUUUUUAAUGACUCAUUCGGCGCCUUACGGGAAACCAAAGUGUUUGGGUUC